rnacentral:misc_RNA from 1 species
AAGUCGUAACAAGGUUUCCGUAGGUGAACCUGCGGAAGGAUCAUUACAUUCAGUAGCCUAGCUACUUGUUUAUACCCUUGUUUUUUGCGUACCUAUUGUUUCCUCGGCGGGGCUUGCUCGCCGACUGGACAAAAUCUAUAACCUUUUUAAAUCUUCAAUCAGCGUCUGAAUUAUACAUAAUAAUUACAACUUUCAACAACGGAUCUCUUGGUUCUG